GUGCUUUUACGGUUCCGGGUACUGGCUCCCACACCACUGCCUCGUGUGGGGUUGUUCGCCCGUGAAGGGGCAGGACAGGGUGCGCGCUGGUGGAGUUUUCCAGGCGCAAACUGAUGGUUUUGGAGCAUUAAGGUCUGGUCGGAUGGGGCAGGAUGGCUGCGUUGACACGUCUUAUUUAAUCCACAUCAUAGGUCUCCAGGUCCGCCCCCGCCUGUAACCCCCAGCGCCGCCCCUCUGGAAGCCUGGGAGGACUGUGUGUUGCGAACCGGGGCGGCUACUCUCGGCCGCCGCGGAGGUCCGCGUCUUGUUAGCAGGGAAGGUUUACUCCCCCAUUGUGGGUGACCAAGGGGCUGAGGGCUUGGCCGGUUUCGCUUUGCUGGGGGCAAGGCACGCUCUCUCUCCCCACCCUUCCGGGUUCCCUCAGACAGUCUCGGCCUUGAGGAACCCCCUUCGCCUCCGGUCCCCCAGCCAACCUUCCUCCGCUCCCCGCGCCCUCCCCGGAGAACCCCACUGUCACUCGCGAUGCUCCGAAGACCCGGGAACUAGGCGAGGAAGGCGGU
rnacentral:misc_RNA from 1 species